ensembl:snRNA U6 U6 spliceosomal RNA
UUGCUUUAGCAGCAAAUAUACCAACACUGGAAUGGUAUUGAGAUUAGUGUGGCUCCUGUGCAAGGAUGACAGGCAAAUUCAUGGAGUAUUCCAUAUUUAA